rnacentral:rRNA from 1 species
CCUACGGGAGGCAGCAGUGGGGAAUAUUGGGCAAUGGAGGCAACUCUGACCCAGCAACGCCGCGUGAAUGAUGAAGGUCUUCGGAUUGUAAAGUUCUGUGAUGGGGGAUGAACACAAUGACGGUACCCCAAUAGCAAGCCACGGCUAACUACGUGCCAGCAGCCGCGGUAAUACGUAGGUGGCAAGCGUUAUCCGGAAUGACUGGGCGUAAAGGGUGCGUAGGUGGUUUAGUAAGUUGGCGGUGUAAUUCCGGGGCUCAACCUCGGCGCUACCGCCAAAACUAUUAGACUAGAGUGCAGGGGGGGUAAGUGGAAUUCCUAGUGUAGCGGUGGAAAGCGUAGAAAUUAAGAGGAACAUCAGGGGCGAAGGCGACUUACUGGACUGUAACUGACACUGAGGCACGAAAGCGUGGGGAGCAAACAGGAUUAGAUACCCCAGUAGUC